CGACCCCAGGUCAGGCGGGGUUACCCGUUGAAUUUAAGCA
rnacentral:rRNA from 1 species